GAUGAAGAACGUAGCGAAAUGCGAUAAGUAAUGCGAAUUGCAGAAUUCCAGUGAGUCAUCGAAUCUUUGAACGCACAUUGCGCCCUUUGGUAUUCCGAAGGGCAUGCCUGUUCGAGCGUCAUUAUCACCCCUCAAGCCCUCGGCUUGGUGUUGGACGGUUUGGUGGAGGCCCCCUCGGGGGUUCCUGCCCCUCCCAAAGACAAUGACGGCGGCCUCGUUGGACCCCCGGUACACUGAGUUCUUCACGGGACACGUAUCGGACACAUGGGUUUACGGGACACGGUCUGCCUCCCCGCAGGGAGAAUCUUUCUAAGGUUGACCUCGGAUCAGGUAGGGAUACCCGCUGAACUUAAGCAUAUCAAUAAGCGGAGGA
rnacentral:misc_RNA from 1 species